AUUGAACGCUGGCGGCAGGCCUAACACAUGCAAGUCGAGCGGAGCGGCGGACGGGUGAGUAAUGCCUAGGAAUCUGCAUGGUAGUGGGGGAUAACGUCCGGAAACGGGCGCUAAUACCGCAUACUAUCAGAUGAGCCUAGGUCGGAUUAGCUAGUUGGUGGGGUAAAGGCCUCCCAAGGAGACGACCCGUAACUGGUAUGAGAGUAUGAUCAGGUAAACUGGAACUUAGACACUGUCCAGUAUCCUACGGUAGGCAGCAGUGGGGAAUAUUGGACAAUGGGCUAAAGCCUGAUCCAACCAUGCCGAGUGUGUGAAGAAGUCCUUCGGGUUGUAAAGUACUUUCAGCUGGGAGGCGUUACCCGCAGAAGAAGCACCGGCUAACUCCGUGCCAGCAGCCGCGGUAAUAC
rnacentral:rRNA from 1 species